rnacentral:rRNA from 1 species
UUCAAGAGUACGUGAAACCGCAUAGGGGUUAAGCCCGAUGAACCUGAAUAUCUGAAUUGAGAAAUUCAAUACUACUUUAGUAAUUUAUAUUUAAAACAUAAAUGAACAAUGGUAUGCACUUUUCUCAUAGUAAGGACAUUGCAAUCCAUUGGUAUAUCUUUGUGUAGAUUGUCUAUUAAACGGCCUAGAAUGGUUAGUUUGUUCUAUCUGUGGCACUAGUUUGUCAUAUGAACAAUAUCAAUUUCUGGUGACCUAAUAAACAGCUGAUGGAGCUAAACAAUCAUGCAUCCAUGCAAUAUGUAUCACGGUUUAUAUUAAAUUUAUUUUUUGUAAAUGCAGUGAUAGCAUGUAUUUGAUUAGCAAUGCGAUAGAUUUGGGAUACCUUCGGGACCCGUCUUGAAACACGGACCAAGAAGUCUAACAUGUGUGUAAGUCAUUGGGUAUAUUGUUGAAACCUAAAGGCGGAAUUAAAAUAACUAUAUUUAUGGGAUUACAAGUAAUUUAAAUUUAUUAAUUACUUCUCCAUCCCGGGGCGUUCUAUACGAACAUGGUUUAAGCAAUUGGAUCCUCUGUUCAGGAGCGUACCUUGAACAUACAUGCUGUGACCCGAAAGA